AUUACCGCGGCUGCUGGCACGGAGUUAGCCGGUGCUUAUUCAUAAGGUACCGUCGGCUGCAAUGAAAAUCGCAGGUUUCUUCCCUUAUAAAAGAAGUUUACAACGCAGAACGCCUUCAUCCUUCACGCGGCAUGGCUGGGUCAGACUUGCGUCCAUUGCCCAACAUUCCUCACUGCUGCCU
rnacentral:rRNA from 1 species